rnacentral:pre_miRNA from 1 species
UAGAUACUCCCUCCGUCGCAAAAUUCUUGUCUUAGAUUUGUCUAGAUACAGAUGUAUCUAAAUGUGACUUGAUACAUCCGUAUCUAGACAAAUCUAAGACAAGAAUUUUGGGAUGGAGGGAGUAUAUG